AGGUAUCUUUGCUCUCUUGAUAGUGUGGUGUGCAUAGGUUUCUACAGCACCUAACUGUACUUUUGUCUUUUAUUUAAAUCAGCAGAACAGUUGCUGCUUUUAAUACAUCAAUGUGGAACGUCUUCACAAAUAUGUGUUACUGUGCUUAUUGCAAAUCUGUUGUAGAUGGUGCACCUGUUGUCUAUGUGCUAUGUCAGAAGAGCAUAUGCAUAUUUGAAGACCAGAGAGAGGAAAAAAAUUAGUAUGUUGCUGUUCUUUCCUUGUUAAAGCUGAUAUACAUCUAAUAUAGAAAAGUCCAUGCUGCAGUCAUGAACUUUAAACUAGGAGGCUGAAGAAUUUUUAUAUUGCAUUAUCAGAGAAAUAAAGUAUGGUUUAUAUAUUUGUAGAGGAGGAAGGUAAAUACUGUGGUAUUUACUAUAAUUUUUAAGCUCCAUCAGUAAUGAAAGUCUUUAAUUGUAUUAAACGUAAGUCUUAUUUUAAAGGCUUUGUCAUAAUUUCUUGUUACUUCUCAUGAAUGCUUCAUCAACCAUCAUAGUUUUGUAAAGUAAUUUCUGUGUAGUAAUCAGAAGUCAUUGUGGAGAACCGUAAUCAGAAUAAAAACCAGUUUAUACUUUGUGGGCAAAUGAUAAUUAGUUGACUAAGAAGAAGCAAAAAAGCAUUACACAAUCUCAUGAAAACCAAAAAGAAGGGGCAAAAGUAGAGAAGGCUGAAUGCUUGCUUAUCUUUGUUGUUAAUAUAUAAUUUACUUUCAGUUCAUGACUUCUGAACUGCACUGACUUCAUUGCUGUCCUUCUAUUGAAUGGUCUGAAUGUCCUUCUGGCAUAAAAUAGGUUAGUCCUUGUUUUAAAUGUGCACAAAUGUACGUUUACUCCACUGGAGAAGAAAUAAGAUGACAACUAGAGAUGUUCAUGUUUGGAAAGAGUAGAAAGGAGUUUUAUAUGGGUAUUGCCUUUGUAUUUUGAUAAUGCUAUGUGAUGCUUUCUCAUUGCAUGACUCCUACAGGAGGGUGGUGGUGGGUUAUGUGAAGACAAAUGUUUUGGGAACAAAAUAGCCCUUUUGUGCUAAAGCUGGAAGAGGUUUCUGGCUCUUCUAUUUUAUCCCCCCCGCCAAAGAAUUUCAAGAAAACUGCUGACACUGACAAAAGAGGAAAAUAUGAUUUAUGAUGACAUCAUGUAUUACCCAAGCAAAUUUGUUUUGAGGAGGAUUAUUUUUUAUAUGAUGUGUCGAAAUAAAGAAAAUGUGAAUCA
rnacentral:lncRNA from 1 species